GAGACUUGAGAGCUCGGAUUUCAGCCAUUGUCACGGUAUCGGAUCUCGCCGAGAAGCAAGAACACCGCCGCCGUGGAGAGUCAUCCCUUGAAGCUUUUCCGUGGGAUUUGAUCCAUUGCUGAGUUUAGCGCUGCGGUAGCGAUCCCGCCAAGAUUUUUCUCUCACGUUCUUAUGCUUUGGUUUGAUCUCAUUGGAUCGCCGAACUUUGUAGGGACCCGAUGUCCGCCAUCCUGUGUUGCCGGACUUCCCCGAGACCACCUCGCCUCCGUUUUUCCCCUAGGUGAGCUCGCGGUAACCCCCUCGUGCUCCCAUGUUCUCAGAUUUGAGUUUGGUGCACUCUAGCACGUUUCCCCAUGGUCUCCGGCGAGCUUCUAGCGCCGGCAAUGGAGAACCACCGUGCUGGCCACUGUUCUGGCCGGCCAUCCCCUCUCCCUCAUUGGAUCUCAUUGGAUCGUGGAUCAACGAUCCAGAUUAGAAGAUACCUCUUCGCUGGUUUUUAUCUUAAAGAGUCCCUGUGUUUUUCUCGUAAUAAACCCGCGGUCCAAAGCGCCUCGCAGGAAUACGCUUUCUCAGUUUUAAAAACGUAUUCCGCGCCGGUUUGAAUUAAAAUACGUUUUCAGUAUUUACUAAAUUGCCACUGAUUUUGUUUUGGCCAUAAAAUAUUCAUGUUAAUUUCGUUUUGACCCAUUCAAAUUGCGUUGGAUUCGUAUUAAUGAGCUCUACAUGUUAUUAAAUUAUUUACUCAGUUUGAAACUUUUUAAUUUCGUGAUCCUAUUUAAUUACUUUUCUAUAUAAAAAUCUUAGAAAAUUCAUAUAUUUUCCGUUUUAAUUCCGAUUUUUGUGAUCUUUACGUUUGUGUGAUCGUAGUUCUGCUUAGAACAUUUUGAUAAACUUUUAUCUUUGAUUACCACUGUUUGGUGUAUUGUUCUAAUUAUAGCUUGUUUGCUCUGUGCAUGAUUGACCAUUGGAAUGCGUGCUGUUGAUUGAUGAUCGAGUUUAGUCAGUGAGCUUUACGUUGGUGAUCAAGGUCAAGCUUUUGACGACCAGCAGCAGGCUCAGGAGAGCUUUGACCAAGGCAAGUAUAACUGGGGAUCAUCCUUGUUACCUAUACACCAUUAAUAUGAUAUUUAUCAUUUGCAUGUGUCCACCUUGAUGACCUUAGCAAAAUCAUAGAUGAUUGUUAUCCUGAAUUCCUUGUUACCUAUUUUGGAUAUGCAUUUGGGUAGUUCUUGCUAGUGCUUGAAUAUAAUCCAUGAUCUUGUAACAUGAAUGUUUGAUAUACAAUAAACAAUAAAAUAAGCUUUCUAGCAACUUGAAUAUAAAUGGUGGAAAGAACUCUGGUUUUUGCUGGAUUGAUCUUGACCCUCCAUAAGGACUUAUCCCUUGGCAAAAGCUGGGACAACUCGUACAACCAUGAGGGCUACAUGGCUCUGGUUUUAGCUCAGUAUGAGGACCUUUUUCUAGCUUGUUAGCGGUUACCUUAAAUAGCGUAAGAAUGGCUAGACACGUUGGGUAUAGUACGACCUCUGCCCAUGUGUAUAGGCUGCGGGUUAUGUGCCAUGGAAGGGGGGCUCUAUAUCUGCCUGCUGAGUGAAUCUAAUGGCAUUAACUUGUUAGACGAAACCUUUGAAAGGCUUCAUAGUGAACCGUGUCGGCUUUCCUUGGAAGUGAGCUAAGAGGUCGACGGGCCUCGGGCAAAAGGGUAAAUCACGACUCAUGGGUAAAGAUGUACAACCUCUGCAUAGUGUUAAAUCUAGUAUACUAGCCGUGCCCACGGAUACGGGCAGCCCGAAAAACUGACGGAAUAGAUGGACACUGAUGAACAUGAUUAAUGAUAAUAAAAGAUGGUUUAUUAUGUUGUUUAUAUAUGUUAUUCUUAAUUCUUGUAUACAAUUGAUCAUGUGGUUAUGAGAUUUAAGUUAUGCUACCUUGAUAUUUGCUAUCUAAAUAUAAAUAUGCUAUCCAUAUAUAAAAGCUAAAUGCAGUCAAACCAGUGUCAGCUAAUUGAGCCUCAUGAACCCCUGGUUAUACUUGUUGAGUACGAUAUAUGCUCACUCUUGCAAUUUCCCCCACACUUCAGGAGUUGCUUUAGGCUUGUGAUCAACCAGUCAGUUUGAUCCUGUGGAGAGGAGUUAAUACCCGAAGUUUGGAGUUGUCUAUCCGCUGUUUGUUAUCAAAGGUUAUCUCUUUUAUACUAAGUACGUUAUAUAUUUAUGCAUUGUCCUUUGAUAUUACCCCUUAUUUGUAGCUAUAUGUGAGAUUUGGUUUCUAAAACUCACAUAUGGUGCAUAUCUGGUUUUGUCCUUAAAAUCGGGUAUUACAAAAGCUAAAAAAGCACUGCUCCAAUGAAAUAGAGUUGUACGAAAUGAGGCUAAGGGCCUGUUUGGCACAACUCAUCUUCACUAGUUAAGUAAUUUUUUUAGGAAAAAAGAUUCAUGCGCAACUUUCUAGGUAGAAGCUAUUUUUAAAAAGUUGUUUGACAAAACAACUUCACCAUUCAAUAACUUCAUGUAUGGAUGAAAGAAAGAAAUGGGGGGAGAGAGUUAGGAUAAGCUACGUUUUCUAGCUUCGUAACUCAUGUUUUUGUGAGAGAAAAAAAUAGCUUUACCCAUAAAACUGUUUUGAAAAAAAGAGUUUGGUAAAAAAAAGCUUAUAAUAGCUUAUGAAGCUGUUGUAAACUGUACCAAACGGAGCAUAAAUAUAUAUCAUCUAGUAAGAAUAAACAUGGCUAAUUUCUAGUAACUAGCGAGAUAGUAAAAAAUGUUACCGACGCCUGACGGAGAGGAGCAAGCCUGGAAAGAAAAACUAGCUACCUCAAGCAAUCAUAGGAAUUAUAUGGUUAUCCCCAGAAACGAAACAGGCAAGAGCCAAUAAAAGAUAUGACAGAAAAGAGGUGAAGCACUAGACAAAAUGGGACAGCUAGAGGUUCAGUCGCAAAGACCAAGCUUCGGGAGGACAACCAAAGUAACACAGAAUAAAUGAGCCCUCGUAUACUAACCUGACUAGACAAAUAUCUACCUAAUGCAAGGAACUGUGCAAGCAAAAGGUGAUUAAAUAAUGCAAAAAAUAACAGAUUGAACACUGUAGCAUGAAAAUGAUAUUGCACAAGCACUGAAUCCAGAGAAAAUGGUACAGCUACAUGUUUAGUUGCAAAAACCACAUAUUUUAGGAGAACAACCCAAAGUAACACAGAAUGAAUUGAAUGAGCUCUCGUGAACAGCAAGCUGACUAGACAAACAUAUGGGCCUUGUUUAGUUCCCAGAAAACUUUGCAAAACUUUUCACAUUUCUCGUCAUAUCGAAUCUUGCAACACAUACAUGAAACAUUAAAUAUAGAUAAAAAAUAACUAAUGACACAGUUUAUCUAUAAUUUACAAGACGAAUCUUUUGAGUCUAUUUGAUCUAUGAUUGGAUAAUAUUCAUCACAUACAAACGAAAGUGCUACAGUGCCCAUUUCCCAAAAAAUUUUGGAACUAAACAAAAGCCCUAAUGCAAGGAACCCGGCAAGCAAAAUGUGAUUAAAUAAGAAAAUGUACAGAUGCAACACUAUAGCAUGAAAAUAAUAUUGCACAAGCACGGAAUCGUUGCCUAGCUGCUGGCUGCUGCUUUCAAUCGAGCACAAUACAAAGCGAUGAUGGUAGAGCUGCUGUCCCUCCCUGCUGCACUACUGUCGGACGCUGAUGUUUGUUAGGCCAGUCACGGGUUUCACGUUCUUAGUUUUUGACACAUUUAUUUCUUAAAAACUAUAGUACAGAAUAGUUUCGUCGCUAUAAACUCUCUCUAUUCCUAUAAAAUUUAUAUCAUCUCUCCUAUUUUAAUACAGUGAUAUGUUAACAUAUUUAAUUUUCAUAAAACUCCAUAAAACCGGCCUUAAAAUGAAAGAAGUUAGAGCUCAACACGGGUCAAGGACAACUGUCUAAGCUGCCACCGCAGAAAUGUAACAACCACCGGUUAACAUGGGUUUCACUUAUACGUCUAUAUGAGAAAAUGCAACAACAUAAAUAUAUUAGAAGUACUCACUCCAUUCCAAAUUAUGAGACAUUUUGAAUUUUUCUAAUACAUUGAUUUUAUAUGCAUCUAGAUAUAGUGUAUAUUCAAGUACAUAACAAAAGCUAUGUUUCUAGAAAAAUUAACAUAUCUUAUAAUUUAGAAUGGAGCGGGUACCUAACAAGAAAUGCAUCAUAUAAGAGCAACUCCAGUAAGGGCACCCAAAUCAGGCCCCUACUUUUAAUUUAUGUGUUGACCCCAAUUUUUGUUGGGCCAAUAUUUUAGUUUUACUCUAGCAGUAGCACCCAAAAAGUCCUCUCAAAUUCUUGUCAAGAGACAAUGACACGUGGAACCCACUUGUCAAUGGGCAAACCUUCCUUCCUCACACAUAGACCAAGGAGUGAGCACAUGGGGGGCCACACCAUUGCCAUGGGAGGGGAGGGAGGCAGGGAGCCGCCUAGGGGAUCUGCCCGCUGCCGAGCCCUCCAUGGAUCUAGCCAUCGUGGAGGGAGCAGCACACGGGGGAGGGGGGGAGUUGCGAGGGAGCAGGGUCACCUGCAGAGUCGCGAUCCAUAUGCCGGCGGAGUCGAGGAGCAGCGGAGGAGCCACAGUCCAUGCACUUGGAGAGGAAACCAACGGAUGGGGGUUAGGAUGUUGGGCCAACCAAAAUGGGGUUUGGAGGGUGUAUUGGGUGCCCACUCCAAAAUAGGAGCUUUAGUAGGGGCCCUGCUGGAGCCGCAUUUUUAACCUAAGCUUUCAUAUUUAGCUAUUGGGGCUCAAGUAGGGGGCCCUGCUGGAGUAGCUCUAAUAACACAAAAGAGAGGCAACAAAAAAUGUUUUUAACAAAUAAUGUUUCAUAGAUGUAUAUUUACGUUCGCAAAUGAAUACAACUUUAAUGUUUAAUGUAUGCCAGAAAGGAAUUCGUAUAAAUUGGUUAAUUCUCAGUUAAUGCCAUCCCAAAACUGAAUAAGUUUUGGUUGACCGACUAGCGCAGAAGUUUUUACCAAAUAGAUUGUGAAAAAAUCAAUUAAUUAACUUCUUCGAUUAAAUCAAUUUGGUUCGAUUCAUCGCUUUCGAUGAAAUUUUACUUGCCCCUAAUUAACUCAUCAAGCGCAACCAGGCAGCCAUCCCAACAACGGCCAGACCGCGUAUGCCCAUGAAGCAACAGUAGCCAGUAGCAUCAGCGCAUCCAUGUCCUGACAAGUGUCGUCCAUACCCCCUGACACAAGAUGUGAAAGCAAGGACAAAGGAGCGAAGCUUCCUAGGAAUGCCCGGCGUGCUAGGUUUUUUACCAUGGCAGCAUGCCCAUCUAGCAGCACUUGCGUACCCGAACAGGCAGCAUGAUUGUUCCUCUCCCACCCACUAGGGAACCCAUCGCUUUGCUUCCCACUCAUCUUCUUCAAUGUCCUUCUGCUCCACUGUGCUAGGAAUGCUCAUAUCAUACAAAUCGAAGACAAACUUAUGUGUCAAAGUUAUGGAGGCCUAAAAAGGAGUUUGGUUGCUACAACAUUUUUUUUUCUCUGGUGCAUUUGUAUGUCACACAGAUUUUGUUAUGUUUGUUUACGUAUGGAUAAGUGUCUUUUAUCUGUUGGAGAUAUAUAAAAUGUUCAAAAUAGUUGGUCGCGAAUGAACCUCUGUACUGAACCCCAAACCUGCCUCGACGACCUCGGCAUCAUCCCGGUCAGCAGAAAGGGAGCUUCAUGCUAUCGUCCUCUUCUCCGUCCGCAAACACACCAUGAACGUGUUGCAACCACCCCGAGCCCAGUAACCCUAACGCCGUGUUGCAGUAUCCAGCAACCAUGACAUCGAGCCAACGCCGACUACUGCCACACCUUGCUGGGUCCUACCUCUAUCACGUCGAGCCACAUCAAUCUCGAUGUCCACGAUCGUGCCUCCACCGCAAACUGCCUCUACCAUGUCAGCCUCUACGCCGAUCUCCUACUACUCGUCGCUGCAGCCCUCCUUCCUCAUUGCAGCAAGGUCGAUCAAACCUCUGAACCCUGUUGAUGCCAUCCUCGACGUCGACAAAUCACUUGCUUUUCAUUUCACUCAAUUUCAUACAUCCUUUGUCAUCAUGUACUUGGUGGUCUACACUUGCCUAUCUAUCGAUCCUUGCUUGUGUCGUGCCUUCGCCACCGAUCUACCAUUGUGCUCUGGAUGUGUGUGCUACUCCUUCAUCGGUCGUCAGGUUGUGUUGUGUGGUUUAGUCUUUAAUCAUUGUUGUUGGUCUAUGAAUCGUGCCUUCGAGCCAGUUGAGAGAGCGAUAUGUUGAACAUUAUGAUUGCAAGUUCGUCUCGCUAUGGUCUCGUUCCUCUGCUCAAGUUUGGUUGAGAAGAUGAAGUCUACACCCGCUGACAUCCUACAUCAACUCUGAUGAUUGCCCGUGAAGGAGGAGUCUUCACUGCUGAUGCGCUACGUCGACUCUGAUGAAGAUCUAUGUGCAUUUCCGCUAGAAUAAUGAUGUAAAUAGGUGUGUAAACUAGUGUUGUAAUACCUUGUAAACUUGUAAUUCUACGAUGUAUGACUAUGAUAUCAGUUGUUAAAUGAUAAUGUGAUAGCUUACUUUCGUGGGCUAUCCUAUUAUAAUUCGUAUCUAUGGAUUUUCCCUUCAUGGAAAAAUCGAGAUCGUUACAUGUUCUUAAAGAUAUGGUUUUGGUUUUUCUUCUCUUUUCUUUCUCCCUUUGCUCUUUAGAUGGAUUUGUGUUCCAAUGAGUUUGGGGAUAUUUUGGGGGUUUUGAUAUGUGUUAGGACCUCUAAAGGUUGUAUGUACCAAGUGCUUUGGGUGAAUUCAUCAUGAGCAUGAAAAUCCCAAUUGGGAGGAAAUUUGAGAAAACCUCAACCGCUUUGAUGGAUUUUGAGAUCAUGGGAGUUUGGGUGAGUUCUAAGUGUUGAUGCUUUGAGAACAUCCUAUCAUCAUCCUCUGCAAUGCCCCUGCAAAAUUGUAGGUUGAUCGGAGUUGAUUUGAUUCAAUUUGGGUCUUUGAGUGAAUCUUCCCGAGGUGCAGUUUGUUCAUACUAGACUAGUUUGGUGUGCACACUGGACUAGUCCAAUAUUUUGGACCAUGGAGUUUUGAGCUGAAUUUUGGUGGAGAGUUCCUUAAGGUGUUGUGUGCUUGUGUUUAAAAUUUCAUAAUGUUUGGACACCGUUUGAUAGGGUUUCCACUUUUUCUCCUAGAUAGGCGUGUUGUACCGGAUAGGUCUAACAUGCACACAGAUCUGGUUUGAAUUGUGAUUUCAAGUUUUUCGUUGGUUCUUUCUUGUUUCGCUUUCACUCCUUCUCCGGUGUGUUCGUGCUAUUGCCUAGGGUUCAUCUAGUCACCAGUUGAUUUGUGUGAGCACUUCUUGCAGUUUUUGGAGCCUUGGGGUCAGAUUUGGGACAUAGGCUAAACUCGAAAGAAAACUAGAAUCGGCUCCAUUCAUGUCUGACAUGCACACCAAUCCGGUUUAAACCUUGAAUUCAAGUUUUUCGUUGGUUCUUGCUCGUUUCGCUUCUACUCCUCUGUUGGGUUCGUGCUUUUGCCUUGGGUCCAUCUAGUCACCAGUUGAUUUUUGUGAGCACCUUUUGUAGUUUCAGAGCUAUGGGGUCGGAUUUGGGACAUGGAUGAAUUCGAAAGAAAAUUAGAAUCAGCUCCCAUUCACAUCCCCUUGGUCACCUUUCUCGGUCCUUCAUGAGUUCAUGAUUUUGCAUUGUCCUUCACGGUCACACCAACAAUCGAUCUGACCUCACCAUCAACUGAUCCGUAAUUGAAUCCAUGAUCCAAGAAAAAUUGAAAAUAACUUAAUAUAGAUAAAAACUAGUACUUUCUUACCGAAGCCGACAGGCCACAUUUGCAUUUAGUUCAAAAUCCCUAGACAAGCUUUUGUUUAGAUGCAUACGGUUAAUUGUCAGCUAAUUAAUUUUUUUUAACUUUGAGUCAUUUUAGCCAAGUCUUCAACUAAGUUGUCAUGUAACUAGUUAGCCAACCCCAUCUAAUUUGGAUUAAAUUUUAGUCCUAGCUAAUAACUAAACCUAACUGAUGAAAUGGCUUCGGGCCCUAUUUGAAUGAAACUAUGGGUAGCUUUAUCACAAUCAUGAAUUGCAUGUUGGACUAUGAAGCUAUCAAUUUGGCAUGGGGACUGUGUAAAUGUUAGUUAGAUUUAAAAAACAUAUUUAAUUAAUUCUAAAUGUAUUGAUAACAUUUUUUACAUACUAACACAUAUAUUAAUUGUUUAUUUUUCCUUCAAAAACAUAUAUAUUGUUUAUUAUUUUUGUCAUAUAAAGUAUUACUCAUUAUAUGCUGCGUUUUAUUAAGGUCCUGUGAUUUUAAGUUCACUCUAGGCCACAAACUCCGGAUAAGCCCAAGUAUUACCCGGAGGUUUGAGACAGCAAAGGUACUUGUUGACACAUGUGAGCAUGUGGAACGUGUGCACCAGCGUACGACAAUAUGCGUUGCCAGCGCGUUUGGCACAUGCAGAGCAACGUGAAAGGCAGCCAACUUGGGUCUGGUUCGGUGCUCCGGUGGUUUGGUUAAGGCCUUGUUUAGUUCGCAAAAAUUUUCAAGAUUCCCCAUCACAUCGAAUCUUUGGUCGUAUGCAUGGAGCAUUAAAUAAAGAUAAAAAUAAAAACUAAUUACACAGUUUAACUGAAAUUUGUGAGAUGAAUCUUUUGAGCCUAGUUACUCUGUGAUUGGACAAUGUUUGUCAAAUAAAAACGAAAGUGCUACAGUAGUCAAAAACCCAAAAUUUUACGAACUAAACAAGGCCUAACUAUAAGCAUCCACGUGCACACAGGAGGGAGAGUGAUGCGAGGCCAAAUGUCGUACUACUGCAUGUGUACGUGCUGCAGCAUGACCUGAUGAGUAAGAAAAGGAUGUUGCUGUCCGGCCACAUUGAACACGAUGAGUUGCUGCUUCUGAGUCCUCCUAAUCAAUUGGAAAGGACACAAUUGCCGGACUAUCAGUGUUGAUUGCUUUGUAACUGGUACAUUAUUAUUGUUGGAUUAUUAUUACCGUCAGCUGCUUUGUAACCGGU
rnacentral:lncRNA from 1 species